CUAUCGUUUGGAACGGUGUUUUUAUUUUUCUUUCUUGUUUAUAUUUAUUUCUUGAUUAAAUGUUUUUUACAAAAUAUUUAAAAUCCACUAAAUAUUAAGAUCUAAAAUCAAUAAAAUAGAGGUGUAUUGUCGCAUGUGAUUGUCCCGUUAUGAUAAAAACCCCGUUUUGUUCACUUUUGUUAGAUAGGUAAGAAAGAAAAGUUGUGCUUGAUGUUUAGACAUUUAGCUGUGCGUCUAUCUGGUGUCCGACAAGUACAUAUGAGCAGCUAUGUUUGGAAGGAGGCAGACAUUACUGCUGUACAAGAAACUGUUGCCAACAUAGCAAGUCACUGUUCAAAGCUCGAUCACCUUGCUGUUUGAAAACAACAACAAAUCAUCUUCCGGGGCAGCAAAGUUGGCUGGAUUUGGCCAACCAGUGGCUCAGGCUUCGCUGUUCGGCCAGUCAAGUCCGGUGGUGGAAUCGACACACCUAGAAGGUCCGAGCAACAACAGAAGUGGAUUGGUUACCAGUCUGCCACAAGGAAUGACCAGCAAAAGCCAAUUUCGCUGCUGUUAAAUAGUAGGACUAUCUUCAGAAGCAGCGGUAAUCUACAUUCGAAUGGAUUCUGGCGGAUUGAUCCUCAAGAUGCUCAGAUGCUCAGAGCCGGAGGACGGUCUAUCGAUUGGCAAAGUAUCAUGACAAGAUACUUCAGACACACUAGCGUAUACAACCGAUCGGGCCAAUUCCCUGUAGUUCACUUGCAGAUAACCGAAAUCAAGUCUUCGGGAUUCGGAUGGUUCGGAUCGCUCCGCCAAAAAAAUUUCUCCCUUAAGGCUCGAUCCAACAUCUUGAGAGCUGGGUGUUGAUUCCAGCGACCCUCAUUUCAAAUUGCCCAAAGGUUCCAAACCGGAGGAUGAAAUCUUCGCACAGAAUUGAGUUUAGUUAUGACGGCUGAACUGGAUGCCCAGAACUAAAUUUAACAUCAGAGAACCAGUCUAGCACCGAUAUUUGAUGCCCCAAGCCCACCUGCGUUCGGUGCAUCCGUUGCCGGCGCGAUAUCUACGGCUAGUGCCUUCGGAGCAUAAUCAAUUUUGGUGCCGAUCCUGGAUCCGAUCGUUGCCGCUAUUUCAAGCGCGCUAUUUAUUAGAUCUUCCAGCCUUUUCGGUGGAGUCAAUUUAACACCGGCAGCAUAAGUACAUGAGAUUCAAAGACGCAUCAUAGCAGGAAAUCGCACACACUUUGGACCGCUCCGAUUAAAUAUAAUUUGCGCCAUAACAAACAACUAUCUACAAAACGCUGAUUAGAUUAUUAAAUUUAUUUUAAAUUUAUAUUUAAUUUACAAUAUAUUUUGUUUCGCAAUAUAUUUCAUUAACAAGAAAAAAUCUACAUUUCUUGUGAGAUACAAAAAAAGAUUUUUAUCAUUACAAAAUAUCAUCACACUUUGUAAUAUCAAUUCAAUAUUACAAAUUAUAAUGGUGUUUUGUAAAGAAGAAAACUUUUUUUUUGCAUCCCACAAGAAAUGUGAUUUUUUUCUAUGUUAAUGAAAUAAAUUGUAAAACACUAAAUUUUA